CCUGCAUCAACAGCUCACUACAGUGAAUGCAGGAAAUGGUGACGGAGGACACCGAAAAGGGUCUGUCAAGUGAGGAAACACUCUACAGGAAUCGUCAGGACACGAUCGGUCCUAAUGAUUGCCCACGUCGGUGAUUUGAUAUGGUGGUGGUGCGCAGAAGUCCUAUUCAAGGAGGAUCUACUGUCUUAGAUUGAAUAAGAAACCCAGAUGAAAAACCACUUCCCAGGGCUGUAGCCCAACCUCCAUCUAAACUAGCAAAACUCUGUUGAUCUCAGUGGAGACACUGCAGCUGGACCAUGGUGCAUCUGACAUCUGGAACC